rnacentral:rRNA from 1 species
GAUGAACGCUAGCUACAGGCUUAACACAUGCCAGUCGCGGGGCAGCAUGGGGGUUGCUUGCAAUCCCCGAUGGCGACCGGCGCACGGGUGAGUAACGCGUAUCCAACCUGCCCUUCACCACGGGAUAACCCGGCGAAAGUCGGACUAAUACCGUAUGUUGUCCAUUGACGGCAUCCGAUUUGGACGAAAGGCUUGGCGGUGAGGGAUGGGGAUGCGUCCGAUUAGCCAGACGGCGGGGUAACGGCCCACCGUGGCUACGAUCGGUAGGGGUUCUGAGAGGAAGGUCCCCACACUGGAACUGAGACACGGUCCAGACUCCUACGGGAGGCAGCAGUGAGGAAUAUUGGUCAAUGGGCGUAAGCCUGAACCAGCCAAGUAGCGUGCAGGAGGACGGCCCUAUGGGUUGUAAACUGCUUUUAUGCGGGGAUAAAGUGGCCCACGUGUGGGCUUUUGCAGGUACCGCAUGAAUAAGGACCGGCUAAUUCCGUG